GGCUGGCAUGCAGGGGGGACAGGAAUAACUGGACUGAAGCUGCCACACACAUUUCUUCAGAAGACAACGAGAGACAUUAUCCAAUUCUUUUGGUUCUUCAGGGCCCAGACUUUGAAGCUUAUGGGAAGCUUAUUCUGUUGACCUGGGAGUUGGAUGAUUGGACGUCACAGCUCCUCUGUUGCUGUCAGGCUGAAUCAAACUGAUAUUCCUGAAGCCAAGGAUCCAGGAGGGGCAGAGGGGUUGUUGAAAUGCACUUUCAGGUCUCAGGUCUGUCAUUUUUCAUUGAGUGUUUACUGAAUGAGUUGUCUCAGGGGUGGUGCUAUGAAUUGUGGGGCUUUUACACAGCAGGUUAAUCGAGCACAUCACAACUUCAUAUUUUAUACUUGUUUAAUUAUCUAACAUUGGCUAAACGGGUACACAUGUACUCUUUACUAUGUAAAGAUGGAUUCUUAGAGGUUAGUUACACAAAAUGUGGCGCUUUUGUUUUUCUCCUGGCAUUUUUAGAUGCAAAGCCUCUCUAAGCUGCAGCUUAAACUCACUCACAGGAUUACGAUUAGCUAGAUGUGCUCCAGUGCGUUGUUUGCAGUCACGCUCAAAAUUCUGAAUGAGAAGUAAAAGGCAGAAUGGACAAGAUGGAGAAAAGUCAAUAACUGUGCUAGUUGUUUACUCAUUGUAAGUGCUGUUGCCUGAGAUGCAUGAUUUUAUAUUUUAUGUAAAGUUGAAAUUUAAAUUUGAUGUAUAACGGGUAAAAACUGAAGAUGUGCAACUGAACAGGCUGUAGCUGCAAGUGAUUUAGUAAAUUUACUUUCACAUUUGUCCAGCAACCAAUGUUCUGUUUGUAGUACCACUGACAGAAUUAGUGCCCAAGCAACGCCUGUUUCCAAGAACCAACCUCUGUUGUUGUGAAGAGAGCUACAUUCACUGUGCCAUCCCAGUCAACAUGUAAUCACCCAAUUCAUUAACUUAUGGCUAAAUUUAUUUGAGGUCACAAUGACCUUUUGAGUCAAAAGUGUCAUUCAGGGUCUGACCAACUGAAAUAUGGUUACAAUCUGUUCAUGAAUUAUGAUAAUGAUGGCAAAAAA